ACGCUAGCGAUAGGCUUAACACAUGCAAGUCGAGGGGCAGCAUGGUCUUAGCUUGCUAAGACUGAUGGCGGCCGGCGCACGGGUGCGUAACGCGUAUGCAACUUGCCUCACAGAGGGGGAUAACCCGUCGAAAGACGGACUAAUACCGCGUACACUCUAUAUUGGGCAUCCAAUGUAGAGGAAAUGAAAUUCGCUGUGAGAUAGGCAUGCGUCCCAUUAGCUAGUUGGUGAGGUAACGGCUCACCAAGGCGACGAUGGGUAGGGGAACUGAGAGGUUGAACCCCCACACUGGUACUGAGACACGGACCAGACUCCUACGGGAGGCAGCAGUGAGGAAUAUUGGUCAAUGGGCGAGAGCCUGAACCAGCCAAGUCGCGUGAAGGAUGACUGUCUUAUGGAUUGUAAACUUCUUUUAUACGGGAAUAACAAGAGCCACGUGUGGCUCCCUGCAUGUACCGUAUGAAUAAGCAUCGGCUAACUCCGUGCCAGCAGCCGCGGUAAUACGGAGGAUGCGAGCGUUAUCCGGAUUUAUUGGGUUUAAAGGGUGCGUAGGCGGCCUGUUAAGUCAGCGGUGAAAUCUAGGAGCUUAACUCCUAAAUUGCCAUUGAUACUGGCGGGCUUGAGUGUAGAUGAGGUAGGCGGAAUGCGUGGUGUAGCGGUGGAAUGCAUAGAUAUCACGCAGAACUCCGAUUGCGAAGGCAGCUUACUAAGGUACAACUGACGCUGAAGCACGAAAGCGUGGGUAUCAAACAGGAUUAGAUACCCUGGUAGUCCACGCAGUAAACGAUGAUAACUGGGCGUAUGCGAUAUACAGUAUGCUCCUAAGCGAAAGCGUUAAGUUAUCCACCUGGGGAGUACGCCGGCAACGGUGAAACUCAAAGGAAUUGACGGGGGCCCGCACAAGCGGAGGAACAUGUGGUUUAAUUCGA
rnacentral:rRNA from 1 species